rnacentral:rRNA from 2 species
GUGGGUAGUUUGACUGGGGCGGUCUCCUCCUAAAGAGUAACGGAGGAGCACGAAGGUUGGCUAAUCCUGGUCGGACAUCAGGAGGUUAGUGCAAUGGCAUAAGCCAGCUUGACUGCGAGCGUGACGGCGCGAGCAGGUGCGAAAGCAGGUCAUAGUGAUCCGGUGGUUCUGAAUGGAAGGGCCAUCGCUCAACGGAUAAAAGGUACUCCGGGGAUAACAGGCUGAUACCGCCCAAGAGUUCAUAUCGACGGCGGUGUUUGGCACCUCGAUGUCGGCUCAUCACAUCCUGGGGCUGAAGUAGGUCCCAAGGGUAUGGCUGUUCGCCAUUUAAAGUGGUACGCGAGCUGGGUUUAGAACGUCGUGAGACAGUUCGGUCCCUAUCUGCCGUGGGCGCUGGAGAACUGAGGGGGGCUGCUCCUAGUACGAGAGGACCGGAGUGGACGCAUCACUGGUGUUCGGGUUGUCAUGCCAAUGGCACUGCCCGGUAGCUAAAUGCGGAAGAGAUAAGUGCUGAAAGCAUCUAAGCACGAAACUUGCCCCGAGAUGAGUUCUCCCUGAGACUUAAAGUCUCCUGAAGGAACGUUGAAGACGACGACGUUGAUAGGCCGGGUGUGUAAGCGCAGCGAUGCGUUGAGCUAACCGGUACUAAUGAACCGUGAG